rnacentral:rRNA from 1 species
GACGAACGCUGGCGGCGUGCUUAGCACAUGCAAGUCGAACGGUAGGGCCCUUCGGGGUACACGAGUGGCGAACGGGUGAGUAACACGUGGGUGAUCUGCCCUGUACUUCGGGAUAAGCCUGGGAAACUGGGUCUAAUACCGGAUAGGACCCUGGGAUGCAUGUCCUGGGGUGGAAAGCUUUUGCGGUGUGGGAUGGGCCCGCGGCCUAUCAGCUUGUUGGUGGGGUGAUGGCCUACCAAGGCGACGACGGGUAGCCGGCCUGAGAGGGUGACCGGCCACACUGGGACUGAGAUACGGCCCAGACUCCUACGGGAGGCAGCAGUGGGGAAUAUUGCACAAUGGGCGCAAGCCUGAUGCAGCGACGCCGCGUGAGGGAUGACGGCCUUCGGGUUGUAAACCUCUUUCAGCACCGACGAAGCGCAAGUGACGGUAGGUGCAGAAGAAGGACCGGCCAACUACGUGCCAGCCGCCGCGGUAA